rnacentral:rRNA from 1 species
CGAACGCUGGCGGCAUGCCUAAUACAUGCAAGUCGAACGAGCUUCCGUUGAAUGACGUGCUUGCACUGAUUUUAACAAUGAAGCGAGUGGCGAACUGGUGAGUAACACGUGGGAAAUCUGCCCAGAAGCAGGGGAUAACACUUGGAAACAGGUGCUAAUACCGUAUAACAACAAAAUCCGCAUGGAUUUUGUUUGAAAGGUGGCUUCGGCUAUCACUUCUGGAUGAUCCCGCGGCGUAUUAGUUAGUUGGUGAGGUAAAGGCCCACCAAGACGAUGAUACGUAGCCGACCUGAGAGGGUAAUCGGCCACAUUGGGACUGAGACACGGCCCAAACUCCUACGGGAGGCAGCAGUAGGGAAUCUUCCACAAUGGACGAAAGUCUGAUGGAGCAAUGCCGCGUGAGUGAAGAAGGGUUUCGGCUCGUAAAACUCUGUUGUUAAAGAAGAACACCUUUGAGAGUAACUGUUCAAGGGUUGACGGUAUUUAACCAGAAAGCCACGGCUAACUACGUGCCAGCAGCCGCGGUAAUACGUAGGUGGCAAGCGUUGUCCGGAUUUAUUGGGCGUAAAGCGAGCGCAGGCGGUUUUUUAAGUCUGAUGUGAAAGCCUUCGGCUUAACCGGAGAAGUGCAUCGGAAACUGGGAGACUUGAGUGCAGAAGAGGACAGUGGAACUCCAUGUGUAGCGGUGGAAUGCGUAGAUAUAUGGAAGAACACCAGUGGCGAAGGCGGCUGUCUAGUCUGUAACUGACGCUGAGGCUCGAAAGCAUGGGUAGCGAACAGGAUUAGAUACCCUGGUAGUCCAUGCCGUAAACGAUGAGUGCUAAGUGUUGGAGGGUUUCCGCCCUGGGGG